UCCCAUAUAGUGUAGUGGUUAGCAUGUCAGGUUUUCAACUCUGUUCCUUCCCUAGCAGGAAGUACAGUGAACUCCCUGGAGACCCGGGUUCAAACCCCGGUGUGGGAA